AGCAGCGCUAUCUGCGAUCCCAGCACUGCCCUCCUCCUGACGCUGCCUAUAAGAGUGCUGCUGAGCUGCACAGCGGUUCCAGCCCCGGCACUGCUGCGCAGGAGGAGAGCAGGAACAGCACGAGUGCAGCAGGCAGACCUGGGGACACAGCGCAGCGCUGUUUGCAACAGUGACCCACCAGGGUGGGUUUGGGGACCCUCGAAGAAUGCGUGAAAAAGAAACUCCUCAGCCUCAAAGUGCUGCUGUCAACAAGAAGGAAAGGGGAAGUGUCCCGUGAGUGUCUGUUGGGCUCCUGAAGGGAUAAUUACAGACUGCAAACCGCCUCCAUUGCUGUGGAAGGGAGAUUGGAAUGAGACAGCCGCUAUCCCGUCUCAAAUGCAGAUCUUGGUGGGCCAUAACGUGCCUGCCCAGCAAGGAUUUAUUGUACCAAUCUAUAACAUAAUCUUGUAUGACAUAUUAGUAAACAGCCCUUUAAAGAUAACCCCACUACCUCCAAUCGGUGCGUUGGGAAGGAUUGCCAAGCACUUACUGCUACACAGAAAUAAAACAGAGACCUCAGUCUGCAUCCCGAUUGUGUGUGUGUUGGAUGAUGCUCGGCAAGAGGGAUAGCUCCCCCAGAGCAGCAUCACCCCCUCUUCACCAGGCUGUGUCCCGGCCCCCAUCACCGCCACCCCUGCUCGGUGCUGUGCUGGGGAAGAGGAGCUGUGGGAGCGCUGCUCUGGUGCUGGCACAGCAGGACCUGUGCUGGGGCACGACUGGGAGCAGCUCUGCAGAUGGGCCCUGAGUGCUGCUGGGCUCCGAGGGGACACGAAGUGGCUGUGGCCCUCCACCUGUGUCCGGGCUGCGCUGGGAUGGCACUGCCAGCAGUGGAACGAGUGGGAUCUGCCCUCUGCUCAGCAAUGGUGCGGCUGCACAGACAGCACUGGGGGCAGCUCUGGGCCCCCCGCACAGGAGAGCCCGGGACACACUGGGGAGAGUGCAGCACAGGGCCACUGAGCUGCUGCAGUGCCGGGGGCAGCUCUGCUGGGAGGAGAGUUGGGCAGGCUCAGAGGGAUCCACUGUGACCACAGAGCCCUGCAGGAGCUGUGAGGGGACGGAGCCGCGCUGCGCUCAGCGGUGCCGGGGCAGCACCCGGCGCUGGGCUCCAACUGCAGCCCAGGAGCUCCCGGCACACACACAGCCCUGCACGGGGAUGGCGGCUGCGGGCUCUCCUCCUUGGGCAUCUCCCACCCCACUCUGCUCUGGGGUGGCCCUGAUGGGGUGGGGGCACCAGAGGGACCCCGAGGAGCCCCAUCCUCAGCCACACUGCGGGGCUGACAUCCCUGCCCACUCACAGUCGCUUCCCACCCCCCUCCCCGUGUGGAUGAGAGAUGAAUCUGGGACAGGUUCUCCACAGCACGGCAAGGCUCAGCGUUUAUUGAGAGCUCCUAUGUGUCCAGCAGUGCACAGCACACCCUGCAUCGUCCCGUGAAGGCAGAGGCCCUCCAGCCAUGGCACCGGCAGCGCCCGCUGCGGUGGGACGGACACGAGCACCACGAGCCCCCAGCCCUGCACAGCUCCUUCCAGCCCCGGCUCUCAGCAGAUGGCCAAUGAAGAGCAUCAGCGCAGAGGUGCUGAGAGCCGCAGAGCGCAGCGACACAGCAGCAUACACACAUUGAGCACCUGCAGCCCGCAGGGAAAGCAGUGACACAGGGCAGGGGAAAGCGCAGGGCAUGGAGGGGAAGGAUGGGAACUGCAAGCCAGGAAGGAGAGUGUCAUCUUCAGAGCGCAGCAGGGACGGCACAAUGGAGGAGAUGUCUCCUCCCGGACCGACCCCUCACUGCCUACAGGAUGGUACAAAGCCUAGACAAUUCCUGUGUGUCUUCCUCCAGCAUUUCUCGUGUGUAACACGGAGCAUCACCAUUCUCCUCUACCAUGGCAUCAAUCAUGUGGAUGAGCUCUGCAACCUGCCCAUCCCUCGCCUCUCUGGUGGCUUUGUUGCUGAAACCGAUGUACCGAUUUCCACACUUUGCUGCCAAACCCUUGAGAUAUGAGCUCCCUUCUAUGAAAGCCUUCAGGGCUUCUGGAUGCUCCAGCUCUUCUGCUCGGGUGAAUAACAGGAUGGUGUAAUUCCUUCCUUCAGUAUGGAAAAUCUUGGUCAGCCACUCAGCCACUUCCUGCUCUUUCUUAGUGAUUCAGCCCAGCUGCAUCACAAACACGAUGGCAUGGACCCCUGCACAGAGGUUCUGAAAGGCAUUCUUGAUCUUUUCAAUUGAUGACCUACUGGAUGGUACAAAACCUCCUAUAGAAUUUCCGUUUGUCUUCCUCCAGCAUUUCUCGUGUGUAACGUGGAGCAUCGCCAUUCUUCUCUACCAUGGCAUCAAUCAUGUUGAUGAGCUCUGCAACCUGCCCAUCCUUCACCUCUCUGGUGGCUGUGUUGCUGAAACCAAUGUACCGAUUUCCACACUUUCUUGCCAGCCCCCUGAGGUAUGGGUUCCCUUCUAUGAAACUCUUCAGAUCUUUCGGAUCCUUCAGCUGUUCUGCUCGGGUGAAUAACAGGAUUGUGUACUUCUCUGCUUUAGUAUUGACAAUCUUGGUCACCCUCUCUGCCACUUCCUGCUCUUCCUGACUGAUUUGGCCCAGCUGCAUCACCAGGAUGAUGGCAUGGACCCCGGCAUAGACGUACUGAAGAGCAUUCGUAAUCCUUUCAGCUAUUUUUGUUUUGGAUUCCCUUGUAUCAAAUAGGCCAGGUGUGUCAAUAACUUCAAUUGGUCUUCCAGAGAAGAGGCCUUUGACUUUCUUGUACUCUUGGGUUGCUGCAUGUGCUGACACCGGCAAAUCAAAUGCCUCCCUCCCAAGGAUGGUGUUCCCUGUUGCACUCUUCCCAGUCCCUGUCUUGCCCACGAGGAUGAUGCUCAGCUGGGAUCCUGGGGAUCAAACACAGACGUGUGUGAGCCCUGCGGCGCUGGGACAGCCCCUGCUCACCACGCGCCGGCUCCCAGGCAGAGGUGCCGGGGCUGCAAGGAAAGGUGUCCCCGAGUCACCGCUGUGCCUGUGGGGAUGGGAUGGGAUGGGGCAUGGGCUGGAGCCGGCUGCCAGCAGGCACACAGGGCUCUCUCGGCCUCAUCCGCCCUCAUCCUCACUCUGUGUGGCUCUCAGAGCGGGGAGAUGGGAGGCAGUCUCCGGAUACACACGACCAUGCAACAGGGGAGGCACUCACCUGUCCUGUGACAUCCUGCCAUUGGGGCUGCACUCACUCACACUCACACGGGAAGCCUGGAAUAAGAAAUAUUUUAUGUGAGAGCAGCACAAACCUCCCCUGCUUCCCUCCCUGUGCUAAUGAAGGCUAUACAGACGAUCUCUGGGGACUCAGGUCAGUCCCACAGCCGUGUGUGCAUGGAGAAAGCCCAGUGUCAUCAGAAUUACCCAUCUCCCCUGACUUUCCCUUUUUCUUUGGA
rnacentral:lncRNA from 1 species